UUCGCGCAAUCUGGAGAGCGGCGUCCGCGCGACGCCCACCGAAGGGGCUAACGGCUUAUCCGGCCGGAAAAUCUCAGGUGCAGGGACAGAGGGGUGUGG
rfam:Chromobacterium violaceum ATCC 12472, complete genome.